GCGUAAUAGCUCACUGGUCGAGUCGGCCUGCGCGGAAGAUGUAACGGGGCUAAACUGUGCACCGAAGCUGCGGCAGCGACACUAUGUGUUGUUGGGUAGGGGAGCGUUCUGUAAGCCUGCGAAGGUGGCCUGUGAGGGUUGCUGGAGGUAUCAGAAGUGCGAAUGCUGACAUAAGUAACGAUAAAGCGGGUGAAAAGCCCGCUCGCCGGAAGACCAAGGGUUCCUGUCCAACGUUAAUCGGGGCAGGGUGAGUCG
rnacentral:rRNA from 1 species